ACACAGGAAACUGAAAAACAAUGAAAUACAACACUGUGGAUAUGAGAACACAUGAAUGAAUGAUAGCAUAAAUACUCAGACUAGAU
rnacentral:snoRNA from 2 species